rnacentral:rRNA from 1 species
GAUGAACGCUGGCGGCGUGCCUAAUACAUGCCAGUCGAGCGAACAGACGAGGAGCUUGCUCCUCUGACGUUAGCGGCGGACGGGUGAGAAACAUGUGGAUAACCUACCUAUAAGACUGGGAUAACUUCGGGAAACCGGAGCUAACACCGGAGAAUAUAGUGAACCGCAUGGGUCAAUAGUGAAAGUCGGUUUUGCUGGCUCGUAUAGAUGGAUCCGCGCCGCAUUAGCUAGUAGGUGAGGUAACGGCUUACUAAGGCAACGAGGCGUAGCCGACCUCAGAGAGUGGUCGGCCACCCUGGAGGUGAGCCGGCGUCCAUAGUCCUGCGGGAGGGAGCAGUCGGGAAUCGUCCGCAAUGGGCGAGAACCUGACGGAGCGGCGCGGCGUGAGUGAUGACGGUGUUCGGAUCGUGAAGCUCUGUUAUUCGGGGAGAACCAAUGUGUAAGGAGCUAUGCACGUAUUGACGGUACCUAAUCAAAAAGCCCCGGCUAACUACGUG